UACAGAGGUGGCAAGCGUUGUUCGGAAUUACUGGGCGUAAAGGGCGCGUAGGCGGUCCUGUAAGUCUUGUGUGAAAUCCCUCGGCUUAACUGAGGAACUGCACGAGAUACUGCGAGACUUGAGUUCGGGAGAGGAAAGCGGAAUUCCUGGUGUAGCGGUGGAAUGCGCAGAUAUCAGGAGGAACACCAAUAGCGAAGGCAGCUCGCUGGGACGGUAUUGACGCUAAGGCGCGAAAGCGUGGGGAGCAAACAGG
rnacentral:rRNA from 1 species